AUGGCGCUUGCAUCCGGGUUCUGCCCGCCGCCGUCAUACACCCCGGGUGCGUCCCAGCGCGCCCCCUUCUCCCUGGGCUUCAGCGUCGGCGGCGAGUGCUGCAACCCGUCGUUUGCCUACUACGACUACGAGGAGUACGCCCCAUCGAGCCCUUCGCCGCUCGCGAGCUCCAAGGACUACUACACUCCAUCGAGCCCUGACUACAGUCCGGCGAGCCCUGACUACACUCCGGCGAGCCCCGACUACACGCCGGCGAGCCCGGACUACACUCCCGCGAGCCCCGACUACACUCCGGCAAGCCCUUCGCCGUCGCUCGAGUACACUCCGUCCAGCCCUUUUCGGCUCGCUUUCAUGAUGCCGUCUCCUCCGCGCGGCGCGUCACCAGAGUACACGCCCCUGACGCCGUCAGAGCACGCUGCUUCAUCACCUUACUAUACUCCGUCGAGUCCUCCCGGUCCCGGGCACGCUUCUUCGCCGGAUUACACGCCCAGCACGCCGCCUCCGUCCCCACUGGUGGUGUCUGACGCCGAGUCGUGCGCGUCGCCGUAUUACACACCGUCAACUCCUUCCAGGAGCGUCGAGUCGCCGGACUACACGCACAGCACGCCGCCUCCAUCGCCUCUGGCGUCAGAAGCAGAGUCCUUCACGUCUACAGCGCGCUGCCGCCACCAUCCGUACCAGAGGAGCGGCGCCGGCCGGAUCAGCCGCGGCGGACGUCAGCGAGCCUGGGGAUAUUGA
rnacentral:rRNA from 1 species